AUCACGCUGAUAGACAAACACCAGAAGUGCUCUCUCUCGCGCAGGCUCCACUUCUUCUGUUCUCAGACAGCGUGCGAUCAGUUCUCAGUGCUCAAAUGCACACACAGUAGUCCAAAUGAUCAGUAAAGAUUUGUUACUGGAGAUACAAUGUGGAAACACAGACCUGUACUGAAGAGGUAACAAACCCAAGGAAGGAGGCUUCAGCUUUGUUGUGCCAGCCAUGGUAAAUACAGGAACAUUCUUCAUGAACAUGUGCAAGAGAGGCUUACAAGGCA